rnacentral:rRNA from 1 species
GUUAAGCGACUAAGCGUACACGGUGGAUGCCCUGGCAGUCAGAGGCGAUGAAGGACGUGCUAAUCUGCGAUAAGCGUCGGUAAGGUGAUAUGAACCGUUAUAACCGGCGAUUUCCGAAUGGGGAAACCCAGUGUGAUUCGUCACACUAUCAUUAACUGAAUCCAUAGGUUAAUGAGGCGAACCGGGGGAACUGAAACAUCUAAGUACCCCGAGGAAAAGAAAUCAACCGAGAUUCCCCCAGUAGCGGCGAGCGAACGGGGAGCAGCCCAGAGCCUGAAUCAGUGUGUGUGUUAGUGGAAGCGUCUGGAAAGGCGUGCGAUACAGGGUGACAGCCCCGUACACAAAAAUGCACAUACUGUGAGCUCGAUGAGUAGGGCGGGACACGUGGUAUCCUGUCUGAAUAUGGGGGGACCAUCCUCCAAGGCUAAAUACUCCUGACUGACCGAUAGUGAACCAGUACCGUGAGGGAAAGGCGAAAAGAACCCCGGCGAGGGGAGUGAAAAAGAACCUGAAACCGUGUACGUACAAGCAGUGGGAGCACGCUUAGGCGUGUGACUGCGUACCUUUUGUAUAAUGGGUCAGCGACUUAUAUUCUGUAGCAAGGUUAACCGAAUAGGGGAGCCGAAGGGAAACCGAGUCUUAACUGGGCGUUAAGUUGCAGGGUAUAGACCCGAAACCCGGUGAUCUAGCCAUGGGCAGGUUGAAGGUUGGGUAACACUAACUGGAGGACCGAACCGACUAAUGUUGAAAAAUUAGCGGAUGACUUGUGGCUGGGGGUGAAAGGCCAAUCAAACCGGGAGAUAGCUGGUUCUCCCCGAAAGCUAUUUAGGUAGCGCCUCGUGAAUUCAUCUCCGGGGGUAGAGCACUGUUUCGGCAAGGGGGUCAUCCCGACUUACCAACCCGAUGCAAACUGCGAAUACCGGAGAAUGUUAUCACGGGAGACACACGGCGGGUGCUAACGUCCGUCGUGAAGAGGGAAACAACCCAGACCGCCAGCUAAGGUCCCAAAGUCAUGGUUAAGUGGGAAACGAUGUGGGAAGGCCCAGACAGCCAGGAUGUUGGCUUAGAAGCAGCCAUCAUUUAAAGAAAGCGUAAUAGCUCACUGGUCGAGUCGGCCUGCGCGGAAGAUGUAACGGGGCUAAACCAUGCACCGAAGCUGCGGCAGCGACGCUUAUGCGUUGUUGGGUAGGGGAGCGUUCUGUAAGCCUGUGAAGGUGUACUGUGAGGUAUGCUGGAGGUAUCAGAAGUGCGAAUGCUGACAUAAGUAACGAUAAAGCGGGUGAAAAGCCCGCUCGCCGGAAGACCAAGGGUUCCUGUCCAACGUUAAUCGGGGCAGGGUGAGUCGACCCCUAAGGCGAGGCCGAAAGGCGUAGUCGAUGGGAAACAGGUUAAUAUUCCUGUACUUGGUGUUACUGCGAAGGGGGGACGGAGAAGGCUAUGUUGGCCGGGCGACGGUUGUCCCGGUUUAAGCGUGUAGGCUGGUUUUCCAGGCAAAUCCGGAAAA